rnacentral:rRNA from 1 species
CCUACGGGAGGCAGCAGUGAGGAAUAUUGGUCAAUGGACGAGAGUCUGAACCAGCCAAGUAGCGUGAAGGAUGACUGCCCUAUGGGUUGUAAACUUCUUUUAUAUGGGAAUAAAAUGUUCCACGUGUGGGAUUUUGUAUGUACCAUAUGAAUAAGGAUCGGCUAACUCCGUGCCAGCAGCCGCGGUAAUACGGAGGAUCCGAGCGUUAUCCGGAUUUAUUGGGUUUAAAGGGAGCGUAGGUGGGUUGUUAAGUCAGUUGUGAAAGUUUGCGGCUCAACCGUAAAAUUGCAGUUGAAACUGGCAGUCUUGAGUACAGUAGAGGUGGGCGGAAUUCGUGGUGUAGCGGUGAAAUGCUUAGAUAUCACGAAGAACUCCGAUUGCGAAGGCAGUUCACUGGACUGCAACUGACGCUGAGGCUCGAAAGUGUGGGUAUCAAACAGGAUUAGAUACCCUUGUAGUC